rnacentral:rRNA from 1 species
AGAGUUUGAUCAUGGCUCAGAACGAACGCUGGCGGCGUGGAUAAGACAUGCAAGUUGAACGCGACUUUCAGGGUAGCAAUAUCUUGGAAGUUGAGUAGCGCAAGGGUGCGUAACACGUGAGAAUCUGCCCUGAAGUUGGGGAUAAUCCCGAGAAAUCGGGACUAAUACCGAAUGUGACCGCAAGGUUAAAGCUGGGACCGCAAGGCCUGGCGCUUCUGGAUGAGCUCGCGGCCUAUCAGCUAGUUGGCGGGGUAAAAGCCCACCAAGGCGAAGACGGGUAGCUGGUCUGAGAGGACGACCAGCCACACUGGAACUGAGACACGGUCCAGACACCUACGGGUGGCAGCAGUCGAGAAUUUUUCUCAAUGGGCGCAAGCCUGAAGGAGCGACGCCGCGUGGGGGAUGAAGGGUUUCGAUCCGUAAACCCCUGUCAUUCAUGAACAAGGGCCGCGUAUUUAAAAGAUGGCGGCUUGAUAGUAAUGGAAGAGGAAGGGACGGCUAACUCUGUGCCAGCAGCCGCGGUAAUACAGAGGUCCCGAGCGUUGUUCGGAUUCACUGGGCGUAAAGGGUGCGCAGGUGGCUCGGAAAGUUUGAUGUGAAAGCUCAGAGCUCAACUCUGAAAUGGCAUUGAAAACUACCGGGCUGGAGGUUUGGAGGGGGGACUGGAAUUCUCGGUGUAGCAGUGAAAUGCGUAGAUAUCGAGAGGAACACCAGUGGCGAAGGCGAGUCCCUGGACAACACCUGACACUGAGGCACGAAAGCUAGGGGAGCAAACAGGAUUAGAUACCCUAGUAGUCC